ACAUUCUGGUCUCACUUCACAGAAUAAAUUGUUCACCUUUUACUAAAGAUUUCUGUGGAGGACAAAUCAAUGAGUCUAUAGACUUAUUUUCUAAAUUAUAUCGUUUAAAUU